rnacentral:rRNA from 1 species
GAUGAACGCUGGCGGCGUGCCUAAUACAUGCAAGUCGAGCGAACAGAUGAGGAGCUUGCUCCUCUGACGUUAGCGGCGGACGGGUGAGUAACACGUGGAUAACCUACCUAUAAGACUGGGAUAACUUCGGGAAACCGGAGCUAAUACCGGAUAAUAUAUUGAACCGCAUGGUUCAAUAGUGAAAGACGGUUUUGCUGUCACUUAUAGAUGGAUCCGCGCCGCAUUAGCUAGUUGGUAUGGUACCGGCUUACCAAGGCAACGAUGCGUAGCCGACCUGAGAGGGUGAUCGGCCACACUGGAACUGAGAACCGGUCCAGACUCCUACGGGAGGCAGCAGUAGGGAAUCUUCCGCAAUGGGCGAAAGCCUGACGGAGCAACGCCGCGUGAGUGAUGAAGGUCUUCGGAUCGUAAAACUCUGUUAUUAGGGAAGAACAAAUGUGUAAGUAACUAUGCACGUCUUGACGGUACCUAAUCAGAAAGCCACGGCUAACUACGUG